AAAUAUUAAGUUUUCUUUGAGAUUAGGCUAUGCAGUACAAAGGCCAAGACUCCCUGUUAUUCCCUUAUGGAGACCAGCAGAAUCCCGAGUAUUUUUCAGUCUGAACAUUUUCGUACAUUUCACAAGCAGUAGGAAAAAAUUAACAAAGAACAUAUGUCAUCUACUUUCCAAACUAUCAACUAUGCCACGAAGAUGUCACCAAUGCACUCCAGAUUUCACUACUACUGAAAACCAGUUUAUCUUCUUUAUGACUUCUCCAGUGCUGUACGAAAGUAACUAAUUAAAUAUCUUGCUAAAAUAAUUUAGACAAAUGUGGUUGUCAGCUUUUUUUUUUUUUCCCUCUGUAUUAAACCAGUUCAAAUUAAACUCAAUUAAGUCAUUAGCAAUGUCUUUAUGGUGUUUAUUUAACAGCUCAGGAAUAAUAGCAGUAAACUAUUCUGAAUGAUAGGGGAAAAAAAGCCCAAACCCUAGUUUCUUCUAAAUUAUAAAUGUACAGGUGUGAACAGUUAGUGAGGCAGUUGACUCAAUAUGAAUGAACUCAGAACUUCAGUGGUACCAUGCUUUGGCCAACUAUUUGUAAGCCAUACAAAAUGACAUUUUUUUUUAUCAUGAACAUGCAUAAGAAAUGUAAUGAAGGCAGAGCUAUAUGUUUCAGGUUUGUUUCACAGACUUGAUAAGAAUGUAUAGUGUGCAGCCUGAUUAGACUAUUGCCCUUCUAUCAUCUGAGCAGCAAAAGGAACAUAUGAUGACCAGCAUUGUCAUUCCAGUAAGGCCAUGUAGGUUAGGGAAAAAGCCUACAGAAGAUUCAGAAGAGAAGUAAUUGAUCAAUUAACAGAUGUCACAGCACAGACAGUAUCAGAUUCUCACUGUAAGGAAUCUACUAUAAUUCAUAUUAGGACAAGCAUAAAUAAGUGUGGUAUAGAACUUUCCUAAAAGUAAGCCUGUUGCUUAAAGUAUCCUGGGUUCCAACAUGCUACUCGUCUUCUCUCUCUGCUCCUCCUUGCUUUAUAAGAAGAAACAUCAUAAGCAAUUUCAAAUCACUUCAGUAGAGAAUUUUUUGUUCACCUACACACAUUGAAAGCUGUUAUCUUAGGUCUCUGAAGUAAACUAGACAAGGGUCUCUCUUUCUAUUUUUAUGCCUUUUUCUUCCUUAAACUUGACUUGUGUUUCUAUUUGCUACACAGAUCUGGUGAUGAAUGAUAUUUGCUUCCCAGAAGAGACUUCAAGUAAAGUGUUUUUUUUUUUUCAAUUUCAAGCUCUUUUCUAAGAUUUUGGAACCCUUAUAGACAAAGAAAAUUGAAGGUCAUAGUAUUUUGAAUGCUAGCAAAGAAAGACUACAUAUUUUCCUUGUACAGCAAAACAGUUUCAUCAUUUUCUUUCUCCUUCCAAAGAGAAACCUGCAAAUAUUAUCCAAAGGCUCUUCCUGUGUCUGCUCUCCAAAAUGCAGAUAUGGAUUGAAAAUAUUUUUUACUGAAAAAAAAGAAAUGCUUACGCUUAAAUAAACAAAAAGUAUUCCUAUUAGCUUAUAUGGAUUGGGUUAAUAUGAGUGAUAUUACAAUUCUGGAAUCUAUGGUUCUCAAUUUAUUUUUCUACAGAUAUUUUUUCUUUGCCAUUAAGCAUCCAAAUCAACACACUCAGGAAAAAGAAAAUAUGCAAACCUAAAUCCCAAAUCUUUGGUCUAGUUCCAUGUAACCAUUUGUAUGGAUAGAUAUUUUUAUGACAUUCUGCUUCUGAUUUAAAUAGCAAUAUUAGAUCUGUUUUGGAGAAGUGUAAAUCACACAGAAGAUUCACAUCCCUCAGGUAAAACACAACCAUGCCUGUGCGUUAGGGUACAAUGAGACACUUUCUGGAAAAGGAAGGAAGGUGAUAGUAAAUACACACUGUUUGUGGGUAAAGGUUAUAAAACCUAGAAGAUUACCCAAAGCAGUGUCUGCAGAGUCCCAGUCACACCUUAUGACACUGCUCAGUGAGUGGCGAUUCUGGACGUGCCUCAUUUGUCUGCAGUUGGAAGUAGCUUUCCUCCACAGGCAACUACCAAUCCCCAGCUUAGCUUUCUUAGUCGGCAUUAGCAUAUUCUAUAUGUUAGCCUUCACUCUGCUUCUUAUCAAAGUUUUAUCUUUCUGAAGUUCAGGCCUCAUCAGUUGCAAGGCAAUGUAUUGGGGAGAUGAGGGUUUCCAACUGAAGUGUUUCUAAUGAUAAUUCUUUCUCUGAGUUCCGUGCCUCUCCCCUUCAUCCUCUCCACCACAAGCACACAUGGGUAUAAAAGUAGAAAGCCACAGAAUAUAGAGAGUUCAUUCAUAAUUGAUGUGUUGGAAACAUCAUAAAGGAAUGAUUAACUCCCCAGGCUUUGCAAUUGUGAUCUAAGAAAAUGGUAGAUAUCUCUUGAGAGUUCUGGAAGAGAAUCCUAAAAUGCCUGCAAACACAGACCCGUGUAUCAGUACUGCAUCCACACCAACGGGAAUACUGUGCAGGAUAUGCAUAUGCUGUGCCUAACGUCUGCUGGAUGGCAAAGGCUGGGGCUCAUGCAGAUAAAUAGUUUCUUAAGUCAUCUUUAGGUCAAAUGCAAAC
ensembl:lncRNA